rnacentral:rRNA from 1 species
GUGAGGAAUUUUCCGCAAUGGGCGAAAGCCUGACGGAGCAAUGCCGCGUGAAGGAUGAAGGCCUAUGGGUUGUAAACUUCUUUUCUCAGAAAAGAAUUAUGACGGUAUCUGAGGAAUAAGCAUCGGCUAACUCUGUGCCAGCAGCCGCGGUAAGACAGAGGAUGCAAGCGUUAUCCGGAAUGAUUGGGCGUAAAGCGUCUGUAGGUUGUUUAAAAAGUAUUCUGUCAAAGAUUAGGGCUUAACCCUAGAUAGGCAGAAUAAACUUUUAAGCUAGAGUGUGGUAGAGGCAGAGGGAAUUCCCGGUGGAGCGGGGAAAUGCGUAGAUAUCGGGAGGAACACCAAAGGCGAAGGCACUCUGCUGGGCCAAUACUAACACUGAGAGACGAAAGCGAGGGGAGCAAAUGGGAUUAGAUACCCGGGUAGUCC